rnacentral:ncRNA from 1 species
CGAUGCUUAUAUUAUGGUGAACGUGUUCCAUUAGUUUAUUCUUGUUAUUAUUGUAUAUGUUAAUGAUUGUAUGGUUAAUGUUUGUAUCCGCGAUAGCUGUGGUGAUGAUGGAAAUAAUAGUAUUGAUGUGGGAUGAACCAAACGUCCGGCUAAGGUGCCCUACGCUUCGCCCAUUAGAUCCCCGAAAGGGUGUCGGUCGAUAUAGACAGCAGGACGGUGGCCACGGAAGUCGGAAUCCGCUCAGGAGUGUGUAACAACUUACCUGCCGAAUCGACCGGCCUCGAAAAUGGAUGGCGCUGGAGCGAGCGACCGAUGCCGGACCGGCCGGGUGACAGGUUGCGCGAUCGCCGGCGAGGCGACUUUCCGAUGCCAGGUCGAGUAG